rnacentral:rRNA from 1 species
UACAGAGGGGGCAAGCGUUGUUCGGAAUUACUGGGCGUAAAGGGCGCGUAGGUGGCCUUCUAAGUUGAACGUGAAAUCCCUGGGCUCAACCCAGGAACUGCGUCCAAGACUGGGAGGCUUGAAUCCGGGAGAGGGAUGCGGAAUUCCAGGUGUAGCGGUGAAAUGCGUAGAUAUCGGGAGGAACACCAGUGGCGAAGGCGGCAUCCUGGCCCUGUCCUGACGCUCAGGGGCGAAAGCGUGGGGAGCAAACCGG